rnacentral:rRNA from 1 species
CCUACGGGAUGCACCAGUGGGGAAUAUUGCACAAUGGGCGCAGGCCUGAUGCAGCCAUGCCGCGUGUAUGAAGAAGGCCUUCGGGUUGUAAAGUACUUUCAGCGGGGAGGAAGGUGUUGUGGUUAAUAACCGCAGCAAUUGACGUUACCCGCAGAAGAAGCACCGGCUAACUCCGUGCCAGCAGCCGCGGUAAUACGGAGGGUGCAAGCGUUAAUCGGAAUUACUGGGCGUAAAGCGCGCGCAGGCGGUCUGUCAAGUCGGAUGUGAAAUCCCCGGGCUCAACCUGGGAACUGCAUUCGAAACUGGCAGGCUAGGGUCUUGUAGAGGGGGGUAGAAUUCCAGGUGUAGCGGUGAAAUGCGUAGAGAUCUGGUGGAAUACCGGUGGCGAAGGCGGCCCCCUGGACAAAGACUGACGCUCAGGUGCGAAAGCGUGGGGAGCAAACGGGAUUAGAUACCCGCGUAGUC